UACGUAGGGUGCGAGCGUUAAUCGGAAUUACUGGGCGUAAAGCGUGCGCAGGCGGUUUUGUAAGCCAGAUGUGAAAGCCCCGGGCUCAACCUGGGAAUGGCAUUUGGGACUGCAAGGCUUGAGUGCGGCAGAGGAGACUGGAAUUCCUGGUGUAGCAGUGAAAUGCGUAGAUAUCAGGAGGAAUACCGAUGGCGAAGGCAGGCCUCUG
rnacentral:rRNA from 1 species